rnacentral:rRNA from 1 species
GUCUACAGCCAAACCACCCUGACCACACCUGAUCUAGGAAGUUAAGCAGGGUUGGGCCUGGUUAGUACUUGGAUGAGAGAAGAAAAAAAAAAAAAAGCAAAUAGUAAUGUGUACU